rnacentral:rRNA from 1 species
UAGCGAAAUUCCUUGUCGGGUAAGUUCCGACCUGCAUGAAUGGCGUAACGACUGGAGCACUGUCUCCACGGGAGACCCGGUGAAACUGUAGCCGUGGUGAAGAUGCCACGUACCCGCGAUUAGACGGAAAGACCCCGUGAACCUUUACUGCAGGUUGUCAUUGGGCGAAUGUUCGUUCUGUGUAGGAUAGGUGGGAGGCUACGAUCUCGCGGCGCCAGCCGUGAGUGAGCCAACGGUGAAAUACCACCCUGAGUGUACAUUCGUCCUCACCGGUUGCAACAUCAACCGGGACAGUGAUCAUCGGGCAGUUUGACUGGGGCGGUCUCCUCCUAAAGAGUAACGGAGGAGUGCAAUGGUACCCUCGGCCAGGUCGGCAAUCUGGCAACACGAGCGCAAACGUAUAAGGGUGCCUGACUGCGAGUCUGAUAAGACGAGCAGAGACGAAAGUCGGCGUUAGUGAUCCGGCGGUCCAAUAUGGAAUGGCCGUCGCUCAACAGAUAAAAGGUACUCCGGGGAUAACAGGCUUAUCUCCCCCGAGCGUCCAUAGCGGCGGGGAGGUUUGGCACCUCGAUGUCGGCUCAUCGCAUCCUGGGGCUGAAGAAGGUCCCAAGGGUUUGGCUGUUCGCCAAUGAAAGCGGUACGCGAGCUGGGUUCAGACCGUCGUGAGACAGGUCGGUCCCUAUCUGUCGUGGGCGUAGGAAACUUGAAGAGAUUCUUCCCUAGUACGAGAGGAUUGGGAAGGACCGACCUCUGGUGUGCCAGUUGUUCCGCUAGGGGCAGCGCUGGGUAGCUAGGUCGGGAAAGGAUAAACGCUGAAAGCAUCUAAGCGUGAAGUCCACUCUAAGACUAGGUUUCCUUUCGAAAGAUGAAGGCUCCUGGAAGACUACCAGGUCGAUAGGCCGGACGUGUAAGGCAGGCGACUGUCUCAGCUUACCGGUCCUAACAGCCAAUCGCUUGUCCAC